rnacentral:rRNA from 1 species
UUAAGUUACUAAGGGCAUACGGCGGAUGCCUUGGCACCAGGAGCCGAAGAAGGGCGCGGUAAGCGGCGAAACGCCCCGGGGAGCAGUAAACAGGCAAAGAUCCGGGGGUACCCGAAUGGGGAAACCCACCAUGGAUAAUGCCAUGGUAUACAUAUCUAAAUUCAUAGGAUAUGUAGGGGAACCGAGGGAACUGAAACAUCUAAGUAUCUCGAGGAAAAGAAAGUAAGAACGAUUCCCUAAGUAGCGGCGAGCGAACGGGGAAGAGCCCAAACCAUAUAUGUGUAAGCCUGCAAGCGUUGCAUAUAUGGGGUAGACGGAGUCAGAGACAGUAUUUGCAGAUUCUGUAUGGCGAAGAGCAGGCGAGUCGAAGCCAACUGGAAAGUUGCGCCAAAGGAAGUGAAAGCCUUGUAGACGAAGCAAGCAGAUAGCCAUCUGAUAUCCUAAGUACUGCGGGGCACGGGAAACCCCGUGGGAAGCAGGGAGGACCAUCUCCCAAGGCUAAAUACUCCCUGGUGACCGAUAGCGCAUAGUACCGUGAGGGAACGGUGAAAAGAACCCCUGGCGGGGAGUGAAAUAGAACCUGAAACCGUAUGCUUACAAACAGUGGGAGGACUAUUAAGAGUCUGACCGCGUGCUUUUUGUAGAACGAACCGGCGAGUUAAUGCAUGAGGUAAGGUUAAGCGGUGCAGCCGCGGAGCCGCAGCGAAAGCGAGUCUUAAGAGGGCGUUGAGUCUCAUGUAAUAGACCCGAAACCGGGUGAUCUAUCCAUGGCCAGGGUGAAGCGGGAGUAACACCCCGUGGAGGCCCGAACCACGUGGUCGUUGAAAAGGCCUGGGAUGAGCUGUGGAUAGGGGUGAAAUGCCAAUCGAACCCGGAGAUAGCUGGUUCUCCUCGAAAUAGCUUUAGGGCUAGCCUGAGGGAGAGAGUUCAGGAGGUAGAGCACUGAUCGGGUGCGGGGUCCUGAAAGACUACCAAUCCCAUUCAAACUCCGAAUGCCUGAAUUUAUACCUUGGAGUCAGAGGUUGGGAGAUAAGUUUCGACCUCGAAAGGGAAAGAGCCCAGACCGUCAGCUAAGGUCCCAAAGUGGAGCUAAGUGGUAAAGGAUGUGAAACUACUAAGACAGCCAGGAUGUUGGCUUAGAAGCAGCCAUACAUUUAAAGAGUGCGUAAUAGCUCACUGGUCAAGCGGUUUUGCGCCUAAAUAUGUAGGGGGCUAAGUUCCACACCGAAGCUACGGAUCCGUAAGGAUGGUAGGGGAGCGUUCCAUGUACGUAGAAGCGAUACCGAAAGGAGUCGUGGAGAGCAUGGAAGUGAGAAUGCCGGUAUGAGUAGCGAGAAGGCAGGUGAGAAUCCUGCCCGCCGAAAGCCUAAGGAUUCCUGAGGAAGGUUCGUCCGCUCAGGGUAAGCCGGGGACUAAGCCGAGGCCGAAAGGCGUAGGCGAUGUACAACUGGUUGAUAUUCCAGUGCCACCAUCGAGCCGUUAAAAGCGAAGGGGUGACGCAGAAGGGUAAGUCAUCACACGACUGGAAGUGUGUCCAAGCGAGUAGGGUGCUUACUAGGUAAAUCCGGUAAGCGAGAGCCUGAGACGUGAUGGGGAGCGGGAUAAUCCCCGCGAAGAGACUGACCCCAUGCUGCCAAGAAAAGCCUCUAGUGAGGCUGGUUGGUGCCCGUACUACAAACCGACACAGGUAGGCGAGGAGAGAAUCCUAAGGCGCGCGAGAGAACCCUUGUUAAGGAACUCGGCAAAUUGACCUCGUAACUUUGGAAGAAGGGGUACCCUGUUAGUGUGAACCUAAAACAAGCGGAGCACGAGAGGGUCGCAGAGAAGAGGCCCAAGCGACUGUUUAUCAAAAACACAGGUCUCUGCUAAGUCGCAAGACGAAGUAUAGGGAUUGAUGCCUGCCCGGUACUGGAAGGUUAAAGGGAGAGGUUAGCGCAAGCAAAGCUUUGAACUUAAGCCCCAGUAAACGGCGGCCGUAACUAUAACGGUCCUAAGGUAGCGAAAUUCCUUGUCGGGUAAGUUCCGACCCGCACGAAUGGCGUAACGACUUGGGCGCUGUCUCAACAAGGGACUCGGCGAAAUUGAAAUACUCGUAAAGAUGCGAGUUACCUGCGAUAAGACGGAAAGACCCCGUGGAGCUUUACUCUAGCCUGAUAUUGGAUUUUGGGACAGAAUGUACAGGAUAGGUGGGAGACUGAGAAGGUAGGACGCUAGUCUUGCUGGAGUCACCUGUGGGAUACCACCCUUUUUGUAACGGAAUUCUAACAUUAUACCGUGAAUCCGGUUAAUGAACAGUGUCAGGUGGGGAGUUUGACUGGGGCGGUCGCCUCCAAAAGAGUAACGGAGGCGCCCAAAGGUUCCCUCAGCGCGGAUGGAAAUCGCGCGAAGAGUGUAAAGGCAUAAGGGAGCUUGACUGCGAGAGAGACAUCUCGAGCAGGGACGAAAGUCGGGCUUAGUGAUCCGGUGGUUCCGAGUGGAAGGGCCAUCGCUCAACGGAUAAAAGCUACCCCGGGGAUAACAGGCU